AAGGAUGGAAUAUUUCAUUUGGUUUUCAGGUACAUUUCAUUUACUAAAUAAACAAAAUUUUAAUCAUCAAUGAUUUGGUCAGUCAGUGAAUAUAAGUAUGUAACUCAGAUUGUGGUGAAGAUAUUUGUAGGUAUGGAUAGGUGUUUAUAUUAAUAAUAAUAAUAUAUUCUCUAUGGAAAAAAAGAAAGAAUAAAGAAAACAGCUAGGCAAACAAAUAAAAAAAGAACAUGAUGGGAUGCCAAAAAUAUAAAGAAUAUAGAGAAAAAUAUGCAAGUAUUUUAAAAAUACAGAAAAAUAGAAAUAAAUAUUAUGGAAAAUAGAAAUAAAGACCUCUCCCUAUCCAUACCCUCAUGAAAGUAACCUUAUUUUCAUGUAGAAAUCUGUAUGUAUAUAGAUAAGAUCGUCAAAUAGGGAUCAAAAUGUUCCACCUAAUUAAUAUAUAUCAAGCAUUUAUUUUCAUUUUUUUUAAAUAUAUGACUCACAAGUGAUCGAUUAUUUAUCAGACUAAAAUACAAAUACUGAUAGCAUAUUGAUUUUUAUGACAAUUUUAAACCUUGUGAGGUUUUAAUGAUUUUAACUAAAGUCAACCAUUACCUUCUGAUAGUAGAGUUACCAAGAUGGAUACCAAGCCUGUUUAUACAGAAAUAUUCAUGGUCCCUUUUAACUUGAUGGGACUGGCCAUUGGUAGGGAAGGAGCUAACAUAAAAAAAUCCAGACAAAUUAAAGGAGUGUUGUUUGUUAGAAAUGAGAAACAACCAGAUGGAUACAGAUUUACAGUAAUUGGUGAGUCACAUAAUGCAGUAAAUGAAGCUAGAUGUGUAUUGGAAUUUAAGCAAAAGGCUUUCACAGUGCCAAAACAUUUAGCAGGUAGAGUAAUUGGAAAAAAUGGAAAUGUAAUUAAAGAUGUGAUAGAUAAGUCCUUAGUGAAGAAAAUUGAAAAACAAAAACAAAAAGAAAAUGCUGUUGUGACAUUUAAUAUAAUAGGUUCAUCAGAAGCAAUUCAGAGUGCUGUACUUUUGCUGAACAAUAAACUGGAAGAGAUUGAGGUACAACUUCAAAUAUUUGAUUUUUAAGCGUAGCAACAAAAGAAUUCAAAGAGGUUACGGAUUUUAUGCUGACAUAAAGAAACUGUUCCAUAAUGGCGGAGGUGAAAAUGUUUUUAAAGGAAAGAAUAAUGAGGAUAGACGUCAUAAAAAAGAUAAAAAACGAUCUGAUUCAAAAAAUCAAGAUGAGGAUUGCUUUGUGUUUUUUCUCAAAAACAAGAUGUUUAGGAGAAUGGAUUAUGUUAAAAAACAAAAACAAAAGCAGCGUGCUCUUCAAAAAAUAAGUAGAGGUAAUGUAAAAAAGCAGCAUCAAGGUCAAAGAAAAUUGACUAAGCGAGAACUUCCUAUUGAUUUGCGACUCCUCAUUGGUGAAAUUGUUCACUCCAAUACUUCUUUCAUAGAGAAUAUAUUGGGUUCUCCUGAAUUUUCAAAUGAGGAAGGAGAAAUUUAUUUAUAUUACAGACGAACUUGUAUUAGCCUGGAUUCUCCUAGGAUUUCAAAUGUGAAAGCAGACAUUUGUUUCGAAAAAUGCAAAGAAAAUGAAAGCAACAGAGAGGAUGAACAACCAUGGUGGUUAAAGCCUCAACAGACAAAAGACUCUUGGGAAGAGUGGGAUUCUGAUGAAGAGUCAAGUAUAAGUACAGAAUUAGAGCAGUUUAAAAUAGGCGAAACCAAUGCAAGAUAUAAUUGUGUAUCUAAUAGUCUAACUAACCAAUUGCUAGCAGUUCAUGAUGAUACAAAUACUUUGGUUUCAUCAGUUGAGGAUAGUGCAGUCUUCGGUAAAAAGUAGUAAAAAUAACACUGUUAAAUAAAAUUCUGUUCUCUAUAUGUUGAAGAUAAAAAGAGUUAAAAAAAUCUGAUCUGGUGACAAAAUUUGUAAAAAUAAGUUAUAGUUAAAAUAAUUUAAAGAUUUAAAUUUUUAUUAAGCUUUUUCUUUGUAAUGAUAGUGUUAUGGUAGGGAGCAACCAUUUAACUUCAAGGGGGAGGUAUGAUUUUUUUGUCUGAGUCCGAAAUUUUCUUUUAGUUUUUCGAUCCUAUCAGUCAAAUUUUUUUUUCAAAAUGUAACACAAUAGUGUUUAGGGAAAAUCUGGAUUAAGAAUAUAUUUUUUUAGUCAUCUGUUUGAUCACAAUAUUAUUUUUCAUGAAAUUUAGGAUAAGAAUAUGUUUUUAGGAAAAAACCAUACCCAAUAGACCAUUUUCAUUUUACCGACUUUUGACUCCGGGUUCUACAAAUAUACGACAGGUUACCUACUCUGUGGUAAGACAUCCUUGUGCUCAGUCAAUUACAAGCAACCAAAAGAAGUAAAAUCAAAUUCAUGAUUCAUGCAAUUUGGGGGGAGACUUCCUGUUUUCUGAUGAUUUAGUCAUGUAAAGAAAGCAUUUAUUAAACAGUUAACUUUCCCUCAAAAUUGUAUCAAUUAAAAUCUUGAAUUUACUUAUUUAUAUUGUUCUUGCUUGACCGAGUACCAGAAUGUCUUACUACAGGGAAGGUAAAAUGUCGAAAAAAUAUAAAUUCCAAAGUCAUACGUCGGUAAUAUGAAAAUGGACUAUUCUGGAAGAUAAAUGAUUGUUCCCGUAUGGAUUAGGUUUUGAUGAGUAUCUGUGAUUAAGAAAAUUAUUGCAAAAAAUAUACAUUUGAUUUAUUAGUUGAAACUUUAAAGUUGUUCAUAUUAUGUCUUUCAUUUAUAUACGCCCGUUUACGGCACGUAUUAUGGUAUACCUCUGUCCGUCCGUCCGUCGUCAACAUGUCGGACAUUAACUCAAAAACGCUUUAACCAAUUUGCAUAAAACUUUGGUGAAUUGUUUAUAUCUGUUGACAUGAGAUCCCUUUCGUUUUUUAUAAAUUUUAGAUUAUACGUUUCCGAGUUAUGCGGUUUUUUUCAUUAAAAAAGGGGGGAUUUUCCAGUUUUCGGACAAUAACUCAAGAAUGCUUUCACCAACUUGCAAGAAAUUGUGGUGAAUUGUUUAUAUCUAUUGACAUGAGCUCCCUUUCGAUUUUUAUAUAUUUUAGAUUAUACGUUUCUGAGUUACUGGUUUUUAUUCAUAAAAAAGGGGGAUUUUCCAGUUUUCGGACAAAAAAUCAAAAAUGCUUUCAGCAGUUCGUAUGAAGCUAUGGUGAAUUGUUUAUAUCUAUUGAUAUAAGCUCCGUUUAGAAUUUUAUAAAUUUAAAAUUUUACAUUUCUGAGUUAUGGGGUUUUAUUCAUUAAAAAAGGGGGGAUUUUCUAGUUUUCGGACAAUAACUCAAAAAUGCUGUCAGCAAUUCUCAUGAAACUUUGGUGUAUUGUUUAUAUCUAUUGAUGUAAGCUCCCUUUACAUUUUCAUAAAUUUCUAAUAUGACCUUGAGAAUUAAUUGAACUUUAUUUGUUUAUAGUCUGACAACAGGUUUACUAAGUAUUGCGCAACAGCACAGUGUAUUGCAAAACAUCAAGAAAUCUUUAAUUGAAUAUAAAUUCAAUUCAUAUAGCCAAUUUCAAGUUCUUUGACUACAUUUAUUCAGAAACCUAUAGGAUGUCAAAUAUUUAAUACAAUCCAAAUUUAGACCUGUAUCAAGCUUGAAUAUUGUGUCCAUUUUUGCCCCAACUGUUCAGGGUUGAACCUCUGCGGGCGUAUCCAGCUGCGCUCAGCGAAGCAGUUUAUUUGGUUAUUGGUGACAUUUUGAUUUGUUAAUUUUUUUAAUAAAUAUUUGAAAAAUAAAA